rnacentral:rRNA from 1 species
AUUGAACGCUGGCGGCAUGCCUUACACAUGCAAGUCGAACGGCAGCACGGGUGCUUGCACCUGGUGGCGAGUGGCGAACGGGUGAGUAAUACAUCGGAACGUACCUUAUCGUGGGGGAUAACGCAGCGAAAGCUGUGCUAAUACCGCAUACGCCCUGAGGGGGAAAGCGGGGGAUCGCAAGAACUCGCGCGAUCAGAGCGGCCGAUGCCCGAUUAGCUUGUUGGUGGGGUAAAAGCCCACCAAGGCGACGAUCAGUAGCUGGUCUGAGAGGACGAUCAGCCACACUGGGACUGAGACACGGCCCAGACUCCUACGGGAGGCAGCAGUGGGGAAUUCUGGACAAUGGGGGCAACCCUGAUCCAGCAAUGCCGCGUGAGUGAAGAAGGCCUUCGGGUUGUAAAGCUCUUUUGUCAGGGAAGAAACACCGGCUCUAACACAGUCCGGGAAUGACGGUACCUGAAGAAUAAGCACCGGCUAACUACGUGCCAGCCGCCGCUGUAA